UCUCAGAAUGAGAUUUCUAAUUUUGAAGAACGCGUCUGUUUAGUAUGCAUAUAUCGACAAUUAGAAAUUUGAGAAUUGCACUCUGCUCCCCCUACGCCUAGCGUUCAGCUUUUUCUUGAAGAUCCAUGUGUAGCUUGCAAUCAUUUUCCCCUCCGAUAGUGUUACCAGUUUUCGUGUGCCCGCUUCACUUUUGAAACCGAGACAGAGACCGAUCUCUGAUGUUCUCACUUCCCCUUCUGUACACCGUACGCCCCCAAACUGUUCGACGAAAUGCCUCAACGAUUAACACUCUACUUCAACUCCAUCAUACGAGCUCCCCUCAUCAAGGGCUCCCCUCUCGUCUCCCUCCUACACCUCAAAACCCUUAUCGGACCCCUCCCCCUUCGACCCGAUGCCCGAACCUUCUCCCUCACCCUUCGGUCAUCGCAACUCCUAGCGAGACCCGAACCCGCAUUGCAAACCCACGCCCGGUUCAUGAAAACCGGCUACAAGCUCGACCCUGCUCCCCUCUUCCACUUCUACAUGCAAUGCAAUCUCAUGCCUGAAACCCGGCAGCUGUUUAUCGAGUCCUUUCGGUUCAAACCUGACCCGAUACCCGGUAACCUGUUGAUAGCUGCAUUGAUGAGGAACGGGGAGGCUGGGCUGGGUAGAAAAGUGUUUGAUGAAAUGCCUGUCAAGGAUUUGGUUAGUUGGAACUCUAUUUUAGCGGGUUUGGUUCGGAAUUCGAGGUUUAAAGAUGGUUUGGUUUUUUUCGACAGGAUGGUCGGUUCGGGAGUUGAACCGGAUGGGUUCACUUUUUCUACGACUUUGUCAUGUUGUGCGAGGACGGGGGCGUUGAGUCUCGGCGAACGGGUUCAUCGGUUGAUAGUUGAGAGCCGGAGCGGGUUUAAAGUCGAGUCAAACCCGUUCGUGGCCUCAGCUCUUAUUGACAUGUACUCGAAAUGCGGUCGGAUCGAGUCAGCUCGUGACGUCUUCUGUUCGAUUGAGGUUCCGCAGUUAUCGGUUUGGAACGCGAUGAUGACCGGGCUAGCGGUUCAUGGGCGUGGGCCCGAAGCGAUCGAAUUGUUUCGUAGAAUGGAGGAAUCUGGUGUUUCACCCGACGGAAUAACAUUCGUCGGUCUACUGACAGCGUUGAGCCAUUCCGGUCUGAUUGGACCGGCUAGGGUUUAUUUCGAUUCGAUGAAUUCGGUCUACACGGUUGAACCAUCAGUCGAGCAUUAUGCUGCGAUUGUUGAUGGUUUGGGCCGGGCUGGGCAAUUGGAUGAAGCCUUGAAAACAGUUGAGGCAAUGCCAAUUGAGCCAGAUGCUAUAGUUUGGAGAUCAUUCCUUAGUGGUUGUAGAAGGCAUCGACGGCCGGAUAUGGCUGAACUGGCGAUCGGACGGAUGGAGAAAUUCGGAAGCGGAGAUUAUGUUAUGUUAUCAAACAUUUAUUCGUCCACAAAGAAGUUUAGUUGGGCCGAAAGGCCUUGGGCUUUGAUGAGAGUGCAACGGGUUAGGAAAGAAGAGGGAGUCAGCUGGGUCGAGUUGGGAGGAAAAUUGCACCAUUUUAAGGCCGGAAGCAAUAAGGCCCAAGCCCAUGUAGAAAUCGAGUCAAUAUACCAAGCUCUUGGUGAGCUUAUGAGGAGAGUGAAAAGAGAGGGGUUCAUUCCGAUGACUGAGGUUGUGCCGAUGGAUGUCGACGAGGAGGAGAAAGAGGAGAACUUGAGUUGGCAUAGCGAGAAAAUUGCGGUGGCUUAUGGCGUGUUAAAAACCGUGCCAGGGACCGAGAUUAGAGUAUCGAAGAAUUUAGCGACUUGUGGUGACUGCCAUGAAUGGAUGAAGGUGGUUUCAAAGGUUUUGCGCAGGGUGAUUAUUAUGAGAGAUAGAGUUAGAUUUCACAGGUUUGAGAGGGGAGCUUGCUCGUGUGGGGAUUAUUGGUAGCUUGCCUUAUCAAUGUUUGUUUUAUCUUUGAAGGAGCAAGGUUUUGAUGUGAUGAUACUUGCCCACGUUUCACACGGUGCAUAUUGAUAUAGAUAGUUGAUGAUACUAACUACAAUGCUCGACUUGUAAUUAAACCCAGAUACAUUCCCAGAUACACCUUCAGUUGGCUGGUGAAACCCAUGUGGAUGGUCAUAAAAUUCAUGCACGGAGCUGCUGACCUUACACUGUUGCCUUCAGCUGCUAUCAGCAGGGAUCUUCAAGCCGCUGAAGUGAUAACCGCAAAUAGGAUUCGGCUUUGGAACAAGGGUGUUGAUUCUGAGAGCUUCCACCCCCGAUUUUGCAACUGCGAAAUGCGAAUGAGGCUAAGGUACGCUACUUCUGACAUACACACGGACACACACACCUUCACACCCACACAAACAAAAAACACAUACAUUUGUAUGGCUUAGAUUUUGGCUAAAAUUGUUGUUCCUGUAUGUUUAGUAAUGGAGAACCAGAAAAACCACUGAUAAUUCAUGUGGGCCGUUUGGGAGUAGAAAAGAGCUUGGAUUUCCUAAAACAGGGAGUUACUAGUGCUGAAACUUUGCAUACUGGGAUAUUUAAUCAUGUUUUCGUUAGACAAGAAUUUGUCCUCUUUGUUUCAUGCAUUUGUCUAUUUCAUGUUUCUGGUUCUUGUGAUUCUAUAGUUAGAACAUGCGUUUAA